UAUGUUAGGAGUUAAAGCAGAUUGCGUUCAUUUCACAGCUCAAAUUAUUUUACAUUAUAAAACAGUUCCCCAGAACAAAUGAGCCAGUCACAUGUUUCUUUGUAAAUAGCACAACAGGAGAAAGUGGGAGCAGCCCAUCUGCUCCCCCCACCCAUUCUCUGAGCAGAGCAGGCAGACCAGUUACCCUAGCGACUCCACAGACACAGCGUUGUCACAUGCUGCUCCAGAGCCAGGACUGUUCUUCCUUCAGACAAGCAUGCGUCAAAACUUUGAUAAUUUGCACAAUGUCUCGUUCAUAUUCGCUUGUAAAUGUCCACUCACCAAAAAUUACAGUCUGUAUUGUUAUUACCUGUGCACUAACAGUUAUUACCUGUGGCCACUUGGUUAGUGUGGGUCUGUUCUUCUCCUGGAACAGGUUGAGGAGGGAGCUCUUCUGUUCUGAUGCCAUCAUCCUGUUCAGAGCCUCAUUCUCCUUCCCCUCACGCUCCAGCCUCUACAGGAAAACCCACAGGGAUACCACACAGCUAAUAGGAAUGUGAUCAGCUCAAUUUGGUUUUUCCAUUUACAAGGCUAGAGAGGAGUAGGGAGAGAGAGACAACAGUAUCUCUAUCCCUCCCACCACCUCGGUCCAUCCCUUCUUACCAGGCACUGCUGACAGGGCUCCUGUAGCUGGGUGAACUGGGGGGCUCUGGGGAAAUACACCCUCAGUUUGGACCACACCUCCUCCGUCACCAGCCGCCUCUCGCUCUCAAGGAUAUUCAGACCACCAUGCCGACAGAGGAUGUCCUCGUUGAAGGUCUUCAUCUCCUCCUCGUCUUCAUCCUGGUUCUCUGGGCCGUACUCUGGAAUCAGACAGCAAUAGUCAAACAAUACUGGGCCACACUGAUAAAGAACCAGACAGCAAUAACCAAUCUAAUCAAUCAUGAUCUCCGCACAAAGGAGUAUCAGUGAUCUCUGGUCCCUCUCCGUUGGUUUUGCCGUCGAUGUGUUUGGUCUCCUCCUCGUCCUCAUCCAGCUGCUCCAAGGCCAGCUGUCUCCAGCUCCGAAGAGACGUCUUGCCCACCCAGUACCCCCCAUCACUGUCAGAUAGGGGUGAGAUAUUAGAACAUACACACAUUGCGCAAACUG